rnacentral:misc_RNA from 1 species
UGCCCCUCACUUGCCAAUACGUCUAGAUCAGCCAGGGCGUCGGCAUGUGUAGCGUAUUAUGUUGGGCUCUCUCGAGAUAAGGAUACGAUGUCCCUUUAUCGGUUGGUUUCCUGUGUGCGCGGCCCGUUCGUUUUUUUGUUACUUCGCAUCGUUCGGUGCAUUCUGGGGGCUGUGUUGGCUUUUGGUGGCUUGCUUGGCCUUUUGGCUUUGCUUGUUGCUACUUGUCGGGCUGCUUUCGGGAAUGUCGACCGUGGAGGUGCAUGAGUGGUGUUUGGUUUGUUACGUGUGGAUGGCUGUUUGCUUGUGCAACAACGUUCAUGCUGCAUACCUCUUCAGUUUUGCGGCAAGGCUUGGUUUGGCUUGUGCAUAUUGUGGGUUUCCUGUGUUGCAUACCUAGUUGAUGGAAAAGUGUGGGUUUUACGAUUUUCAUUUUCGUCUUGCGUCGUUCUUUCGGCGUGGGAUGAACAAUGAAGCGAUCUUUAUGAUCCAUCGUGCUGUUGCGUUUGCAACAAUGAUGUGGCCUAUGAAGCAUCGUUUGGUCUCUUGUAUACGGAAGCUCAUUUGGGCUUGGGUCUUUAUAAGAUCUUCGUUACGCCCUUGUUAAGCGUUCUCGCUUCUCCUAAACGAUUG